UUUUGACUCAUUGCCUACGUACCCUUUUAAAGGAUCAAAACCAAUCGUAGUUCGUUCUCAAAAAUUGUUUUUGUUUUUGUUGGUUGAUUUUAAGUUUGAAAAAGGAAUUUUUGAAGAAUAGAGAUGAGAGGCCUCAAGGGCAUGAGAUUUGGAAAAUGUGAGGUGGAAUUAGUCAUUUUGCAAAAUGAAGUCUAAGUAUGAUUAAAAUUCAUUAAGAUUUUUUUUUAAGAAAGUAAAAGGAAAAUGAGGAGUUUUGACUCCUAUUUUUUUGGAAAAAGGGUUUUCAAGUGAGGUUAUUCACAUUUUUUGGGAAAAUGAUUUUUUGUCUAAGCAUUAUAAAACCUAAGCAUACAUCUAAACAUACAUUCCCUAAUCAUGCAUCUAGAAU
rnacentral:lncRNA from 1 species